rnacentral:rRNA from 1 species
CCCUUGUAUAUUAGUAAUGAAAUUUAAUAAUUUUGGCGGUUAAUUUUUAAUUAGAGGAGCUUGUAUAGAUUUAGCUCUUUAUAUUUAAUAAAUAAAUUUAUUCAUCUCCGUUAUUAGUAAAAUUUCAGGUCAAGAUGUAGUAUUUAUUAGGAUAUUAGCUACAAUUAUGUAAUAAUAAAUUGAAUUUAAUUGUAAUUGUAUUUAGAGUAAUAUAAUGAAUGGCAUUAAUUAAUGU